rnacentral:rRNA from 1 species
GUCCUUUUGAUAUUAAUUUAAGGUCUAAUCUGCUCAAUGAGAAUUUAAAUAGCCGCAGUAUUUUGACUGUGCAAAGGUAGCGUGAUAAUUAGUUUUUUAAUUGAAAACUUGUAUGAAUGAUUUGACGAGAAAAUUUCUGUCUCUAUUUAAUUUUUUAUGAAUUUAAUUUUUAAGUUAAAAAGCUUAAAUAACUAUAAAAGACGAGAAGACCCCAUAGAGUUUUAUUUUUUCUUUUUAUUUAGAAUUAUUUUAAUUUGAGAAAAAUUAGUUGGGGUGACUAAAAAAUUUAAUUAACUUUUUUAAUUUAAAUCAUUGAUUUAUGAAUAAAAAAUCUAGUUUUUCUAAUUUUAAAUAAAGUUACCUUGGGGAUAACAGAGUAAUUUCUUUUAGAGUUCUUAUCAAAAAAGAAGAUUGCUACCUCGAUGUUGGAUUAAAAUUUAAUUUAGGUGUAGAAGCUUAAAUUUUAAGUCUGUUCGACUUUUAAAAUUUUACA